AGAAAACGAAGUACUUAAAAAUAAGUUUUUUUAAACUCAAAAUUAAGUAAAGACGGUUGAACUCAAGAAAUGGGUGAUUUACAUUCUGUCGAAUACGUACAUUUAACCCAACUUUUGAGUAGUUGGACGAAAACCCAAAUUUAAGUAAAAAAUAACUUAUGCAAAUUAUUGCGCCUUUGACCAUACAAUAGUUGACAAUUAUUGUCAUAUUUGAACUUGCCUGCUUUCUGAGCAAAACUAGUUGCAUCGCUCGAAUUGUCACUUAACGUAUUUUAUUAUGCCACAAAACGCAGUCAAAAUGGCUAGACACAUAAAUAUGUUAAUCGAUCAUUCAAUUGCCAAACACUCAAAAAACAAAAUGUAAAAAUAACUCAACUUAUGGCAUUUAAGUUGCGUACUUUCCGUUGGGUAGUUUUAACUCAAUUUUGGAUGAAAAAAUGUGACAGCCAUAAUGAAACGUCAACACUGUUCAUUCCAGCUUAGUCGUCGUCGGUGUAAGACGUAAUCGUCAAAAUUAGUUAUUAUUUUUUCAAUUCUAAAAAAUGUAUGCAAUCGGCCAGUGAAUAUUCUGGAAUCCGGAUCUACUAAAGGAAAAGUGUCGGAUUCCUAUGAAGUUAGUGCUCUGCUCUCGAUGACUACCACCCUCUUCGAACUACUGAUUGCCGUUCCAGCCAGCAAUCGUUCAAGAUUCCCGGAAUCGUUACCGAUUAACAAUUGUUGUGAGUGAGAAGCUGGAUGCUGUACCCAAUAUGUGUCGUUUGUUGCCUGCCCACUACAUGCUGUUCCUGCCAUCCUAUGCUGCAAGUAUUCUCACCCGAUCCGAAUUGUGUCCGGCAAUGAUGUCGUCGUUCCUGCCACCCACGCCCUUGGCUGAAUUUCGUGAUGUAUCCCAAAAAUAUCGGUUUUUAAUAUUAUUCUAGAUGUAAUUUCAUUGCAUUGUUCCCUUCUUGAAAUAAAAUAAAAUGAAUGGUUGUAUCGUU